GAAGAGGUCAAGCUGGUGCCUACGUAGAAGAGGGAUCUUUUGAGAUAUUUUUCUUAUACUAGAGAGAUGGCUCAGUGAUUGGGAGCACUAACUGUUCUUCUAGACGUCCUGAGUUCCAUUCCAAGCAACCACAUGGUGGCUUACAACUAUCUGUAAUGGGAUCUGAUGCUCUCUUCUGCUUCCUGCUGGUCCCUCCCCACAAUAGAUCCUAACAUGGUUUCAAGUCACUUCAAUUCUAUUACUCUUUUCCCCUCUCCCUUAAGACUUCUUUUUCCCUCUCAUAGUUCUCUUCCAUGGCUGCAGGGAGUGACCCAACUGGGGCAAUAAGGGAAUGAAGAAUGGAGAGACACACAGGCAGACACAGAAAAGCUGGAAUGAGGUCAUCUGGACUCUCUGACGGAGAAGCUACAGCCCUCCCCACCUCCCAGCAAAUAAAGGAAAAUAACCACUUUCCUCUUCUACAUCAAGGGAAAUAUGGCUCUUCUACAUUCCUCUCUGACCCUCCUACAAGACAUUUCUUAAAUCUUUUCUCCUAUUGCCACAGUAAAAAUAAAUUAUAAUUAAUUAAUUAAUGACAAUCUGUCUAUAUAUUGCCUAUUUACUAUCAAUAAAUAAGUAAAUAAAUGUCGUGAUAAUUAAACAACAAA
rnacentral:lncRNA from 1 species